rnacentral:rRNA from 1 species
AGAGUUUGAUCCUGGCUCAGAUUGAACGCUGGCGGCAUGCCUUACACAUGCAAGUCGAACGGCAGCGCGGACUUCGGUCUGGCGGCGAGUGGCGAACGGGUGAGUAAUACAUCGGAACGUACCCUGUUGUGGGGGAUAACUAGUCGAAAGAUUAGCUAAUACCGCAUACGACCUGAGGGUGAAAGCGGGGGACCGCAAGGCCUCGCGCAGCAGGAGCGGCCGAUGUCUGAUUAGCUAGUUGGUGGGGUAAAGGCCCACCAAGGCGACGAUCAGUAGCUGGUCUGAGAGGACGAUCAGCCACACUGGGACUGAGACACGGCCCAGACUCCUACGGGAGGCAGCAGUGGGGAAUUUUGGACAAUGGGGGCAACCCUGAUCCAGCAAUGCCGCGUGUGUGAAGAAGGCCUUCGGGUUGUAAAGCACUUUUGUCCGGAAAGAAAACGCUCUGGUUAGUACCUGGGGUGGAUGACGGUACCGGAAGAAUAAGCACCGGCUAACUACGUGCCAGCAGCCGCGGUAAUACGUAGGGUGCGAGCGUUAAUCGGAAUUACUGGGCGUAAAGCGUGCGCAGGCGGUUUUGUAAGACAGGCGUGAAAUCCCCGAGCUCAACUUGGGAAUUGCGCUUGUGACUGCAAGGCUAGAGUAUGU